UUGCUGCUGUAUGUAAUAGUUGAUGCUUUUGCUUGUUUUCAUCAUAUAAUUUAUUUCUUCUCUCAUGUGUCUUUAUUUCUUUCCUUUUUAAUGUGUUCUUAAACUAUCUUGGAAUUGUAUGUCUCUUGGCUCCAUGGGGCUUGCACAAAUGCUAAGGGGGUCAGAGAUAUUGAUUGUCUCUUGUGUGGGAGCUCGUGGGAAAUUCUAAGGAUGCAUUGGGGUCAGAACUUUUAAUUGCCAGUAUUAUUGAAGGAUGAUUACAUACUGCAUGCUUCCAAAACAAAUAAAAAAUGCUAAGUUAUUAAACCUAAAAUGUAUCAGUUCAUUUAAUUUAUUAGUUCCAAGUCAUUCAAAGGCUCAGAAGUUUAGAAGUUCGAAAAAAUUCAACAUAUUGCUAUUUCGUGAUGAUUCUUGUGACACAGGAAGUUAUAAUACUUCUAAAGCUAUCAUCUAACUACUUAAACUACCAGAUCUCAUGGCUUUAAUAAAAAAGUGAUAAUCCUUCCAAUAUGAAAAUUGCUGCUGUCACUUCCCCUUCUAUUAUGAAAAUUUAAUUUAUAAUUGGUUUAAGUUU